UGGGGAAUAUUGGACAAUGGGCGCAAGCCUGAUCCAGCCAUGCCGCGUGAGUGAUGACGGCCUUAGGGUUGUAAAGCUCUUUCGCUCGGGACGAUAAUGACGGUACCGAGAUAAGGAGCCCCGGCUAACUUCGUGCCAGCAGCCGCGGUAAUACGAAGGGGGCUAGCGUUGUUCGGAAUUACUGGGCGUAAAGGGUUCGUAGGCGGUGCGGCAAGUUGGGAGUGAAAUCUCUGGGCUUAACCCAGAGGCUGCUUCCAAAACUGCCGUGCUCGAGUGCGGGAGAGGCGAGUGGAAUUGCAGGUGUAGCGGUGAAAUGCGUAGAUAUCUGCAGGAACACCCGUGGCGAAGGCGAUCAUCUGGGGCUAACCUGACACUGAGGAGCGAAAGCUAGGGGAGCAAACGGGAUUAGAUACCCCGGUAGUCCUAGCCGUAAACGAUGGACACUAGGUGUAGGUGGUAUCGACUCCAUCUGUGCCGCAGUUAACACAAUAAGUGUCCCGCCUGGGGAGUACGGCCGCAAGG
rnacentral:rRNA from 1 species